rnacentral:misc_RNA from 1 species
GAUGAAGAACGCAGCAAAAUGCGAUAAGUAAUGUGAAUUGCAGAAUUCAGUGAAUCAUCGAAUCUUUGAACGCACAUUGCGCCCCUUGGUAUUCCAUGGGGCAUGCCUGUUCGAGCGUCAUUUGUACCUUCAAGCUUUGCUUGGUGCUGGGUGUUUGUCUCGCCUUUGCGUGUAGACUCGCCUUAAAAUAAUUGGCAGCCGGCGUAUUGAUUUCGGAGCGCAGUACAUCUCGCGCUUUGCACUCAUAACGACAGCGUCCAAAAGUACAUUUUACACUCUUGACCUCGGAUCAGGUAGGGAUACCCGCUGAACUUAAGCAUAUCAAUAAGCGGAGGA